UGGGGAAUAUUGCACAAUGGGCGCAAGCCUGAUGCAGCCAUGCCGCGUGUAUGAAGAAGGCCUUCGGGUUGUAAAGUACUUUCAGUCGGGAGGAAGGUGGUAAGGUUAAUAACCUUAUCAAUUGACGUUACCCGCAGAAGAAGCACCGGCUAACUCCGUGCCAGCAGCCGCGGUAAUACGGAGGGUGCAAGCGUUAAUCGGAAUUACUGGGCGUAAAGCGCACGCAGGCGGUCUGUCAAGUCGGAUGUGAAAUCCCCGGGCUCAACCUGGGAACUGCAUUCGAAACUGGCAGGCUAGAGUCUUGUAGAGGGGGGUAGAAUUCCAGGUGUAGCGGUGAAAUGCGUAGAGAUCUGGAGGAAUACCGGUGGCGAAGGCGGCCCCCUGGACAAAGACUGACGCUCAGGUGCGAAAGCGUGGGGAGCAAACAGG
rnacentral:rRNA from 1 species